rnacentral:rRNA from 1 species
AUUGAACGCUGGCGGCAGGCCUAACACAUGCAAGUCGAGCGGAUGAAGGGAGCUUGCUCCUGGAUUCAGCGGCGGACGGGUGAGUAAUGCCUAGGAAUCUGCCUGGUAGUGGGGGAUAACGUCCGGAAACGGGCGCUAAUACCGCAUACGUCCUGAGGGAGAAAGUGGGGGAUCUUCGGACCUCACGCUAUCAGAUGAGCCUAGGUCGGAUUAGCUAGUUGGUGGGGUAAAGGCCUACCAAGGCGACGAUUCGUAACUGGUCUGAGAGGAUGAUCAGUCACACUGGAACUGAGACACGGUCCAGACUCCUACGGGAGGCAGCAGUGGGGAAUAUUGGACAAUGGUCGAAAGCCUGAUCCAGCCAUGCCGCGUGUGUGAAGAAGGUCUUCGGAUUGUAAAGCACUUUAAGUUGGGAGGAAGGGCAGUAAGUUAGUACCUUGCUGUUUUGACGUUACCAACAGAAUAAGCACCGGCUAACUUCGUG